rnacentral:rRNA from 1 species
AUGGCGGCGUCCGCGACGAGUAGCAGCCCAACCAGCUGGGCAGUCUGGACGAGGGCAUGGACUGCGGAGGAGAACCGGCACGGUGAUCUCAUGAACAAGUAUAUUAAUACUGGGAGGGCUGAUAUGAGGCAGGCGGAGAAGACCAUACAGUAUUUGGUUGGUGCUGGAAUGGAUCCGAAAACCGAGGCCAACCCUUAUGAGUUUUUCAUUUACACAUCUUUCCAAGAGAGAGCAACCUUCAUAUCUCACGGCAACACUGCAAGGCACGCCAGGAAGUACGGGGACUUGAAGCUGGCCCAGAUAUGCGGCACCAUGGCGGCUGACGAAAGGCGCCAUGAGCUUGCUUAUACCAAGAUAGUGGAGAAGCUCUUCGAGGUCGAUCCCGACUAUACGGUUCUAGCCUUCGCUAGCAUUAUGAAGAAGAAGAUCACGAUGCCCGCACACCUGAUGUAUGAUGGGCAGGCGUUUGCACUUCACCACGGUGGCACAGUGGCUGGGCGUUUGCACCGCCAUGGACCACGUACGCCUAAAUCCUCGAGUUCCUGGUCAAGAGGUGGAACGUCGCCGACCUCACUGGGUUGUCCGGGGAAGGGCAGUGCGCUCAGGAUUAGCUCUGCUCCCUAG